AUUGAACGCUGGCGGCAGGCUUAACACAUGCAAGUCGAGCGGAGAGAGGUAGCUUGCUACUGAUCUUAGCGGCGGACGGGUGAGUAAUGCUUAGGAAUCUGCCUAUUAGUGGGGGACAACAUCUCGAAAGGGAUGCUAAUACCGCAUACGUCCUACGGGAGAAAGCAGGGGAUCACUUGUGACCUCGCGCUAAUAGAUGAGCCUAAGUCGGAUUAGCUAGUUGGUGGGGUAAAGGCCUACCAAGGCGACGAUCUGUAGCGGGUCUGAGAGGAUGAUCCGCCCCACUGGGACUGAGACACGGCCCAGACUCCUACGGGAGGCAGCAGUGGGGAAUAUUGGACAAUGGGGGGAACCCUGAUCCAGCCAUGCCGCGUGUGUGAAGAAGGCCUUAUGGUUGUAAAGCACUUUAAGCGAGGAGGAGGCUCUUUUGGUUAAUACCCAAGAUGAGUGGACGUUACUCGCAGAAUAAGCACCGGCUAACUCUGUGCCAGCCGCCGCCGUAA
rnacentral:rRNA from 1 species